GACACCAGAGAGUCUUAGGGCCCAAGAGGGACCACCAGAAAGAGCUAUCCUGAGAGGAAGGAUCUGCGCCUGCGCCGAGGCCAGAAAGGCUGAGACAGGGCUCCUAAAUGGAAAGGCACUCUCAGCCAGAUGGAGUUUAGCUGAGUGCAGAGGAUUUAUGAGAACACAAUAGCACAGAUUGCUGAAGGACAGAACGGUCGGAGUGGGACUAGGAGCCUGGAGCGGGGGCGGGGACUUGAACAUUCCAGGCUCUGUGAACUAAGUGACUGAAGCUGAUUGACACAGGUCAAGGGGACUUCAAGGAAGAAAGCCAGCCUUAGACUGACAUCAGAGAACCAAACUCCGGUGUCUAAGCUCAAGCAUCUACAUCUCCAUUUAUGCCGUGUGCACGCAGUACCAACAGAGGUCAGAGGAGGGUGUCGGAUCCCCUGGAACUGGAGUCACAGAUUCUUCCUUGCGUGGAUGAAACAGUCCCAACGAACACUUUAAAAAGACAAAUGUUCCCGACAGCACUGGUUGAAUUCAAAACUCGGCAGAUCCAUGUUCUUAUCCUUAGACAAGAGAGGGGCCAUAACAAGAUGGAAUGACGGAACAGACGUGAGAGAUGAUGGUACAGUGACUCGGGUAACCCCAGAAAAGGGACAGCUCUUCUACAGCUCAGUGGGGACAGGGACAAAAAGAAACAAUUUCAUUUCAGUCCACCCAGAGGGUCUGCACUUCUCGGAGCCAGAAGGUGGAGAAGAGUAGGGAUGGAGGAAGUUCGAAGUUUUAGGAGUCUGCUCUUGGGUCCCUAGGCAUGAGGACAAGCUUUUCCUGUACUCAAUGCUCAUCUCUCAGUUGUGCCCACAUUGGUACACAUUACUUGCUUUCAACUGCUGCUGCUGCUGUUUCCUAAUUCAAUAAAGAUAUGGCUGGCUCAGCAGAGAGCUGUCAUCC
rnacentral:lncRNA from 1 species